UAAUACGUAGGGGGCAAACGUUGCUCGGAAUUACUGGGCGUAAAGGGUGUGUAGGUGGCAGAGCAAGUCAAAGAUGAAAUCCCAAGGCUCAACUUUGGAACUGUCUUUGAAACUGCUCAGCUUGAGGAUGGUUGAGGAGAACGGAAUUCCCGGUGGAGCGGUGAAAUGCGUAGAUAUCGGGAGGAACACCAGAGGCGAAGGCGGUUCUCUAGACUAAUCCUGACACUGAGACACGAAAGCUAGGGGAGCGAACGGGAUUAGAUACCCCGGUAGUCCUAGCUGUAAACGCUGGGCACUAGAUGUUUCCACUUUUAGUGGGAGUGUCGAAGUUAACGCAUUAAGUGCCCCGCCUGGGGAGUACGGUCGCAAGGCUG
rnacentral:rRNA from 1 species